rnacentral:rRNA from 1 species
CUCCGGUUAAUAUUCCGGAACUACCUAUUCCACGUUAUUACGAUGGGGGGACGCAGGAGGCUAACCAGGCCCGCGAUUGGACGUGCGGGUUGAGGGUCGUAGGGAGAUUCGCCAGGUAAAUCCGGUGGGUCGUUAAUCCUGAGGGCCCGGAGCGAGCGCCGCAAGGCGCAUAAAGCUGGUGACGCCACGCUGCCGAGAAAAGCCUCUAAGGAGUGGAGUGGGUACCCGUACCGCAAACCGACACAGGUAGGCGAGGAGAAAAUCCUAAGGCCCAAGUGUGAUCCCCCGUUUAGGAACUCGGCAAAUUGGCCCCGUAACUUCGGAAGAAGGGGUGCUCUUGCUUGUCAUCCGGCUUGCCCGGAGAAGCGAACGAGAGUUGCAAUAAAGAGGCUCAGGCGACUGUUUACUAAAAACACAGGGCUCUGCGAAGUCGAAUACGACGUAUAGGGUCUGACGCCUGCCCGGUGCCGGAAGGUUAAAGAGAGGGGUUAGCCGCAAGGCGAAGCUCUGAACUGAAGCCCCGGUAAACGGCGGCCGUAACUAUAACGGUCCUAAGGUAGCGAAAUUCCUUGUCGGGUAAGUUCCGACCUGCACGAAUGGCGUAACGAUCUGAGCGCUGUCUCAACGGGGAGCACUGCGAAUUUGUGGUACCGGUGAAGACGCCGGUUGCCCGUCACAAGACGAAAAGACCCCGUGCACCUUUACUACAUCCUAGUAGUGAAUGCUGGCGCAGUAUGCGCAGGAUAGGUGGGAGGCUUUGAACUCAGGCUUUCGGGCUUGGGGGAGCCAACGGUGAGAUACCACCCUUACUGCUCCGGCGUUCUAACCUCGUUCUGUUAUCCAGAUCAGGGACACUGCUAGGUGGGUAGUUUGACUGGGGCGGUCGCCUCCUAAACUGUAACGGAGGCGCUCGAAGGUUCGCUCAGGCUGUUUGGAAAUCAGCCAUAGAGUGCAAAGGCAUAAGCGAGCUUGACUGCGAGACCUACAAGUCGAGCAGGUGGGAAACCAGGACUUAGUGAUCCGGUGGUUCCGCAUGGAAGGGCCAUCGCUCAACGGAUAAAAGGUACGCCGGAUAACAGGCUGAUCUGAGCCAAGAGUCCACAUCGACGCUCAGGUUUGGCACCUCGAUGUCGGCUCAUCGCAUCCUGGAGCUGUAGCAGGUUCCAAGGGUCCGGCUGUUCGCCGGUUAAAGCGGUACGUGAGCUGGGUUUAGAACGUCGCGAGACAGUUCGGUCUCUAUCUGUGAUGGGCGAAGGAGAUUUGAGUGGGGCUGACCUUAGUACGAGAGGACCGGGUUGGACGAACCUCUAGUGUAUCGGUUGUCACGCCAGUGGCAGUGCCGAGUAGCUACGUUCGGAAGGGAGAAACGCUGAAGGCAUCUAAGCGUGAAACCCUCCACGAGAUGAGAUCUCCCAGGGCAUAAGCCCUCUGAAGGCUCCUGGUAGACGACCAGGUUGAUAGGCCAGGUGUGGAAGCGCAGCGAUGCGUUAAGCUAACUGGUACUAAUUAGCCGUGAGGCUUGACCAU